AGUAAUCAAUAGUCUGUGUGGUUUAGAAUAUAAUGAUUUUUGAGAAACAAAGUUUUAGCAUUGACAGUAUACCUACUCUUAACACAUGUAUAAAAAAAACUAAAUAAAAACGCGUAAUUGAUCUCUAAUAAAUUGGUGGAGUAGUGCUGUCACUUUGACUGUAGUGGCCCAUAUAUAACUAAAAAUUAUGAAAGCACAUAACCCGUGACUUUCUUGAUCCGUUAAUACCUCUUUUUACAAUUUGGUUUUUUCAUUAGACCUUUAAACUUAAAUAUUUACACUGUUUAAAUGAGAGAGUGGGGACAGAGUGGCAAAGCGGAAUAAGGCGUCGGUUACGACGCAUACCGUUCCUGGUGUGAACCUCGGUCUUGGACGUCACUUCAUUCGGGGAGUCACGGUGUCUGGAGAGAGAGGCCCCCAUCCCCCAUUUGCACAUGGCGGAUGCCUACAAGUGCCCACUUGAAAAUUCUGCCUAACUAAAUCUACUGUACUCUCCCCUAAAGUUCAAAAUCACCCAAUUUGACCCGGGUUCAAGUCAAAACUGACUACUAUGCACACAAACGUUUGAUCGUCCGAGAAAAAAAACAGAUGAUCCACCCAAGUACCAUUUAAUCAUUCGUUUCUGUAAUUGAGACAUUACAUGCUGGGUUUUUAAACAUUUAUUUUUGAUGGUUGUAACAUUUUUUCAAUCAAUGUUCCCUGUUGCACACUUGCAUUAAUGGAGGCAAAAUAGUAAGCGCUGACUGCACUCACAAAUUGACUACAUACGGUAUAAAAGUAGGAUUAACCAAAUAUGCUGCAACUUAUUGCGCUGUACUUUUAGUCGGCCACAUGGUAAGUUAUUCAAGUUAAUUUGUAAUAUCUUGUUUUAAUUCCACGUUUCUAUGUUUAGUUAUUGAAAAAACUUGGUUUGGACCAUUGUAUGAAGGAUUAAAAGAAGCUAAUGGUGAAGAAUACUAUGUAGAACCUGCUGAUGAAGAUCCAAAUGCUUUCUGUUGCAAUCUAGAUGUUGUUGCUGGUGCUUGAGUUUUUGGAGCAGUGAAAGGAGCCUUAGAUGGAGGUUUCAAAAUUCAUCACAGGGUGAAAAGAUUCCUAGACUAUGAUGCAGUACUAGGUUUAUGGAGCAAUGAAAGAGCCUUAGAUGGAGGUUUCAACACUCCUCACAGCAUAAAACGAUCCCCAGAAUAUGGUGCUGUACUAGGUUUUUGGAGCAAUGAGUGAGCCUUAGAUGGAGAUUUCAACAUUCCUCACAGGGUGAAAAGAUUCCCAGACUAUGAUGUUAUGCUAGAGUUUUUGGAGCAAUAAAAGGAGUCGUCAAUAAAGGUUUAAACACUCCUCACAGGGCGAAACGAUUCCCGGGCUAUAAUGUUGGAAAAUAUGUACGAGAAAGCUUGUAUAAUGAUCAGGAGUGAUCUGAAACAAGAUAGGACGCCAAAGAUGGAGGUUUCAACAUUCCUCACAGGGUGAAAAGAUUCCUAGACUAUGCUAGAAAUUUUGGAGCAAUGAAAGGAGUUGUCGAUAAAGGUUUCAACAUUCCUCACAGGGUGAAAAGAGUCCCAGACUAUGAUGCUGUACUAAGUUCUUGGAGCAAUGAAAGAGCCUUAGAUGGAGGUUUCAACAUUCCUCACAGCAUAAAACGAUUCCCAGAAUAUGGUACUGUACUAAUUUUUUGGAGCAAUGAGCGAGCCUUAGAUGGAGAUUUCAACAUUCCUCACAGGGUGAAAAGAUUCCCAGACUAUGAUGCUGUACUAAGUUCUUGGAGCAAUGAAAGAGCCUUAGAUGGAGGUUUCAACAUUCCUCGCAGGGUGAAAAGAUUCCUAGACUAUGCUAGAAAUUUUGGAGCAAUGAAAGGAGUCGUCGAUAAAGGUUUAAACACUCCUCACAGGGUGAAAAGAUUCCUAGACUAUGCUAGAAAUUUUGGAGCAAUGAAAGGAGUCGUGGAUAAAGGUUUAAACACUCCUCACAGGGUGAAAAGAUUCCCAGACUAUGUAGUAUGCUUGACUUUUUGGAGCAGUGAAAGAAGUCGUCAAUGGAGGUUUCAACAUUCCUCGCGGGUAAUAAAAAAUAUCUCGCUUUUGUAUAAACAAUUUUUAAGCAAUAUAUUUUUUAUUAUUAGCAUAAAACGAUCCCCAGAAUAUGAUGCUGUACUAAGUUUUUGGAGCAAUGAAAGAGCCUUAGAUGGAGGUUUCAACAUUCCUCACAGCAUAAAACGAUCCCCAGAAUAUGAUGCUGUACUAAGUUUUUGGAGCAAUGAAAGAGCCUUAGAUGGAGGUUUCAACAUUCCUCACAGGGUGAAAAGAUUCCCAGACUAUGAUGCUGUACUAAGUUCUUGGAGCAAUGAAAGAGCCUUAGAUGGAGGUUUCAACAUUCCUCACAGCAUAAAACGAUCCCCAGAAUAUGAUGCUGUACUACGUUUUUGGAGCAAUGAAAGAGCCUUAGAUGGAGGUUUCAACAUUCCUCGCAGGGUGAAAAGAUUCCCAGACUAUGAUGCUGGAAAAUAUGUACGCGGAUGCUUGUGGAAUAAUGAGUGUCCUGAUACGAGAUAAGAUGCGUAUCUUAGGCCCAUAUGACAAUCAUAGUUUAAACCUCUGUUAACCCACUGAUUUUACUGGCCGUAUUCAGUGGUUCAACCUUAGUUUAACGAUUGUAAUACGGGCACUUAAGGAGUUACAAGGCCAAACAGUUGGAAUCCUAAACCGUUUUAUGUGCUGAGUCUGUUAUUUCAAUAAAACUUAUUAAACAAUUUUU